rnacentral:misc_RNA from 1 species
CGACAUCAUUCAAGAAAAGCCAUAACUUCCAAAGAAGGCUUAAUCCGGCAUUUACCUGACAGCACUCUGAAAUUUUAUUACUUAGAUUUCGAAUGUAAUGAAAUAGAAGAAAACCCCACCAAUGCAAUUUACUCAAUUAACCCAACAUAAAAGCCAGGAAAAAAAAGGCCAAUUUUCUUACUAUUGAAAGCAUGGAUUUUUAUGAGGAGUUGCAGGCACCGGG